rnacentral:lncRNA from 1 species
GAAACCUGUAGACUUUGGUUACUGCUAUAUUCCCCUUGAGAUCCUUGCUGGAUGCCGACCAGGAUUUCAUGUGAGGGCCAGGGAUGCACAGACCUGGUCAAUCUUUGGCUGAUUGAAAGAGCCUCAGUAAAGAGACAAGGAGAGAGAGAAAGGGCAGAAUGAAAAAAAAUGAACCAACAUUUUUUGGCUCCUUGGGAUCAGAGAGAGCCAGAGUAGCAGAGGGUCUCGUGCCCAAAAGGCUACCCUUCAAGAUAAGGGAGCCCCGAGGGUCUUUGCAGGAGUUGAUCUUGCUGUGUAGAGCACUAUUGUCCCGGGGUUGACCCCUGGGGCAGUUCUUGGUGGGUUCUGCUGGGCAGAACACAUGGGUUAAAUCUGUGUAGAGAGUUUUCCUCAUCCUCCAUCCACAAGUGUCCUUCCAAGCAAGGUCCCCCUCUAGACAGUAGACAAGGACCCUUCUACUGAACCUCCAAGGAAAAGAAGAAGGAAAAGAAGAAGUGCUUUUCAAAUCUUUCAAAGGGCUACAUGUAACCAUCUGGAAUGACCACAUCUACACCCUCCCAGACUCCGUCCUUUCAUUUCAACAUAUAGCAAGCUAUGAUUUUAUAUAUAAAUAUUAUAUAAAUAUUGUAUAAAACAUUAAAAGUUAACUAUGUAAGAUAUUAUUUCUGAAACAGUUUUAGUUAUAUCCACUAUGAUUAUAAACUGUGUCUCGACCUGUGUUAUUUACAUUAGCUGCUUAAAGGAGCAUUGAGUUCUUUGGUUUUGUUUUGUUUUGUUUUUUUUUAAUCUCAACUAAAGAUAUAGUUCUGUGGUAGCCAUUGUUUUACAAUGAAAUAACUGCAACUAGAGAAAAAAAACUGUAUAAAAACAUUAAAUUGUCAGUAUUUUUGUAAGAUUCCGUUUUGUAAAGAGAAUAAUAUUCAAACACUUUUGUGGCAUACAAAGUAAAAAAAAAAAGUGUAUCUGAGAAACUAAACAUGUAUUAAAUGUGCUUUUUAAAUAAAAGCUCAUAACACAACU